AAGGGUGUGACAAGGGCUGGACUGGGACAAAAAAUCAGCCUUGGCAUUUUUGGUCCAGGUGGCCCACCAC